rnacentral:rRNA from 1 species
CGCGUAGGCGGCCUGCUAAGUCACACGUGAAAUCCCUCGGCUCAACCGGGGAACUGCGUGUGAUACUGGCGGGCUCGAAUUCGGGAGAGGGAUGUGGAAUUCCAGGUGUAGCGGUGAAAUGCGUAGAUAUCUGGAGGAACACCGGUGGCGAAGGCGGCAUCCUGGACCGAGAUUGACGCUGAUGCGCGAAAGCUAGGGUAGCAAACG